rnacentral:rRNA from 1 species
UACGUAGGGUGCAAGCGUUGUCCGGAAUUAUUGGGCGUAAAGAGCUCGUAGGCGGUUUGUCGCGUCUGCUGUGAAAACUCGGGGCUUAACCCCGGGCCUGCAGUGGGUACGGGCAGACUAGAGUGUGGUAGGGGAGACUGGAAUUCCUGGUGUAGCGGUGAAAUGCGCAGAUAUCAGGAGGAACACCGAUGGCGAAGGCAGGUCUCUGGGCCACUACUGACGCUGAGAAGCGAAAGCAUGGGGAGCGAACAGG